UCUCACAUCCCUUGCAUGGUGGAGGGUGAGCUCUCGGAAAACCCCUCCCACAUGCAGGGUUUGCAGGA
ensembl:miRNA Mir188 microRNA 188